rnacentral:rRNA from 1 species
GUCCACGCCGUAAACGAUGAGUGCUAGAUGUCGCGGGUAUUGACCCCUGCGGUGUCGUAGCUAACGCGUUAAGCACUCCGCCUGGGGAGUACGGCCGCAAGGCUAAAACUCAAAGGAAUUGACGGGGGCCCGCACAAGCGGUGGAGCAUGUGGUUUAAUUCGACGCAACGCGCAGAACCUUACCCGGGCUAGAAAAACUAGGAACCUCUCAGAGACGAGGGGGUGCCCGCAAGGGAACCUAGGUCCAGGUGCUGCAUGGCUGUCGU